ACCCCUCAGAAGAAUUUACAGACUUGAUCUGCUUUUUGAUUUUUUGCAACAAUAUUCUUCUAGCAAAGCAUCUUGGUUUCUCUCUGGCUUGAAAGGAAUAGGCCACACCAUGGAAAACAUUCGUUCAGCCAUUGAAAUUGGGAAGAAUUUGUGUGAUUUAACUGGACCAUGGAUUGAAUAUCACAAUAACCUUGAUACUAACAUGGAAACUCUCAAAAGGAAGACAGAGCAAUUGAAU